rnacentral:tRNA from 1 species
GGAUGGAGCAGUCUGGUAGCUCGUCGGGCUCAUAACCCGAAGGUCGUUGGUUCAAAUCCAGCUCCCGCA